UUCGCUCAAGUGCCUUGUCUAUGGCAUUUGUUUUUUGUUAGGGUGAUUCAGAUUGUUGACGAAAUAUAGUCUUCUGCUACAUCUGCUCUAGGUUCUGAUGACCAUUGAUAAUUGGAGAGCAGCAUAGGAAUGCAACAGCUUUGUCUGGGCGCCAAAUGCCCUACUAAAUAGAAUCCUCUUGGGAAAAUUUGUCUGCUCCUAAGUUACACAACACACAUCAUAAGUUAAUUAACAAAUUCAAAACAAAUUUAGAUUGGGAUUUUGAGAUAAGUUAAAAUGUUUUUAAUUAAUAGAUAACACAACAUUUAGCUAAUGGUUCUUAUUGCAAUCUUGACUUAAUUUUUUAUCUUAGUUCACUUAGUUUUUGCGUGACCUAGGUGCUUGUGACAAUGGAAUGGAGAUGAAAUGAUCCACCAAUAAUGCAAGCUAUGUCUUCCAAAGCUAAAUAGUUUCUACUGUCAUUUAAUGUUUAUAAUAAUAUUUCAGGUAACUUCCCCUGUCAAAUCGUAGGAAAUCUUCAAGAUAUUGAUGCCUUCCUCAGAUCCAAUUCUUUGCUGCCACCUCUUUUGCAGACAGUUGUGGUGACCUCCACUUAGUUCUAAUUUAGGACAUGUAACAUUGAUAAAUUUGAGGUUAAUCCCUCACCACUCUAUAGUUGUUUGGAAACUGACGAGAGAUUGCUGGAACUGAAGACUGAUAAUUUGUGUAGAUGUAGAAACAUUACAAGUGCAUAUCUGGGCUCCCUUCUUUUCUGUGGCCCCGUUUCCCUAACUUACCACUAACCAACGCCCGC